rnacentral:rRNA from 1 species
UGUUUGAUCCUGGCUCAGAAUGAACGCUGGCGGCGUGCCUAACACAUGCAAGUCGUACGAGAAAGACUGUUUUCGGAUGGUCGAGUAAAGUGGCGCACGGGUGAGUAACGCGUAGGUAACCUACCCUUGUAUUGGGGAUAACAGGACGAAAGUUCUGCUAAUACCGGAUGUGACCUGGGGCUGGAGGGUUUCAGGUUAAAGUGGGCCUCUCGAAGAAGCUCAUGUACAGGGAUGGGCCUGCGUCCUAUCAGCUUGUUGGUGGGGUAAUGGCCUACCAAGGCGACGACGGGUAGCUGGUCUGAGAGGAUGAUCAGCCACACUGGCACUGGAACACGGGCCAGACUCCUACGGGAGGCAGCAGUGAGGAAUUUUGCGCAAUGGGAGCAAUCCUGACGCAGCAACGCCGCGUGGGUGAAGAAGGCCUUCGGGUCGUAAAGCCCUGUCAGGUGGGAAGAAGGGUCCUAUCAGGAAAGGGGUGGAUUGACGUACCACCAGAGAGCACCGACUCC